ensembl:lncRNA
GCAAACACCAGUGUGACUGAACAGGAACUCUGCAGUCACAGCCAAGCCCCAGGCAGCUAUGGAGGAAAAAAAGAUGCAACUAUAAAGACUGUAGACUUCAAUUAAACGUGUUUUUCUGGUUUUCUAUGAGGAAAAACCAACCAACAAACAAAAAAAAACCACAAGAAUUUGACCAGCUGUCCAGUGACACUGUGGUGAAGCAGCUGUAUACAUCACCUCAGCCCAACUUCUCCUGGAUCUGUACAAUUGGACAUCUUUGGAAGACCUCUGUUCUUCUUCUGCCAUACCCAGCUAAUCUGUACCUUCUGGAAAGAAAGAUAAGCAGCAGGAUUGGUCUCAAGGUAUGUUAUAAAAAAAAAAAAAAAGAAAAAAGUGAUGAGACAAAAUGAAAUGUGCCUCUGAAAUGUAUGAAAGGAGAGUUAAAGCUUCGCAGGCCCCAGAAAGGAGGGUGGUGGGGAAACCAGCCUCUGCACCAG